AUUGAACGCUGGCGGCAGGCCUAACACAUGCAAGUCGAGCGGUAACAUUUCAAAAGCUUGCUUUUGAAGAUGACGAGCGGCGGACGGGUGAGUAAUGCCUGGGAAUAUGCCUUGAUGUGGGGGAUAACCAUUGGAAACGAUGGCUAAUACCGCAUAAUGCCUACGGGCCAAAGAGGGGGAUCUUCGGACCUCUCGCGUCAAGAUUAGCCCAGGUGGGAUUAGCUAGUUGGUGAGGUAAUGGCUCACCAAGGCGACGAUCCCUAGCUGGUCUGAGAGGAUGAUCAGCCACACUGGAACUGAGACACGGUCCAGACUCCUACGGGAGGCAGCAGUGGGGAAUAUUGCACAAUGGGCGCAAGCCUGAUGCAGCCAUGCCGCGUGUGUGAAGAAGGCCUUCGGGUUGUAAAGCACUUUCAGUCGUGAGGAAGGUGGUAGUGUUAAUAGCAUAAUAUUUGACGUUAG
rnacentral:rRNA from 1 species